GAUAAUUACGGAGAAGUCAUACUCUCUCACACCCUCGGCUUUCUUGUUGUGUCCUUCAGCAAAACAGUGGAUUUAAAUCUCCUUGCACAAGCUUGAGAGCAACACAAUCUAUCAGGAAAGAAGGAAAGAAAAAAACCGAACCUGACAAAAAAGAAGAAAAAAAAUCAUGAAAACCAUCCAGCCAAAAAUGCACAAUUCUAUGUCUUGGGCAAUCUUCACGGGGCUGGCUGCUCUGUGUCUCUUCCAAGGUAAGUGACAUUUCAUUCUGCUCAUCCCCAAGGCAAAGUUGGAUGUUUUUAAAGUGGAAAAAAAAAUGAACGGAAAAAGAAACGGGGAAGGUGGGAAGAGGUGGAAAUGGAAGGGCACAGGUAGGUGCAUACUCAAUUCUUCGUCUUUUGCACAGACUGGUGGGGGGGCCUUCCCCCCAUAUUCGGUGGAGAAUCCUUUCCUCAGGACGGAAGGUCCAGGUGGUGACUGUGGCUUUUGAGAUGAUGAUGGCUUUGCUCUUUGAAAGGGGUUUGUCCUGUAACACAAUGGCCAGCACUUUUGCU
rnacentral:sRNA from 1 species